CACAACCAGAGGCGGGAUCCGUGGCACGCCACCCUCCAAUGGGAGGCGAACCCUCACUUGAAAUAAAGGGAAAGAGGAGGCGGAGGUGCGCAAGAAACAGUGAGCUGACGGAGAAGCCACAAGGGCGAGUCCAGUCGGUGAAGGAAGACAACUCAAGCCGCAUCAGACCCAUUUGACACACAUCAACCACUCUUACAGAAACAAGAGUUGAUGCCACCAACUCAGCGAUUGUCCGUCAGUAUUCGCAGGGUGUCACGGCACCGAGUGACGCACUCUCAGGCGGAGGGUAACAUCAAAUUAAGUAUAAAACAAAUAUAAGUAAUCCCUGUGUGCUUAAAGUAUCCACAGAGCCUCCACUAAUGGGGAAAAGGCACAAUUGGCAGUCUGUCCAGCCUGCCCGAACGCUUCGUGGGUCACCUCCUCACCUCAACGUUCUCUCACCCCUCUCCUCCGGCCCUGGCCCUGCCCACCCCAGGUCAUUUAUCAUGGAGCAGGAGGGGAGCCUCCAGGCCUGCAGGCCCCUGUCAGCCACUGCAAUCGCCUCUUUGUGGCUCCCAGCAAACAAGUGUCGGAUCAGCAAAAGUCUAUUAAAGCCUGGUGGGCCUUUCUCAGCCAAUUGGGUCUGGGUCAGUGAGCCGCUCUCCUCGCUGCUCCGAGAGCUCUUUGUGUCGCCGCCGUUCGCUGACACAGAUCCCCACAAGAUUAAUGAUUUUUAGCAGCCACUUGGUUCUUACUCGCAAGAGUUGGAGCCCGUUUCUCUCAUUUUGCCCUCUCUUUUGGCCACUUGUAAUGCUUCCCUUUUCUCCCUUCAGCCCAUCUCUCAUACUCCAUCUCCUUAUUUUUUCCAUUCAACCCAGCCUGCUAACCCAAUCAAUGCUAAUUGCAUUAGCAUAAACCUUACAAACCCACAAUACAUACACCAAAAGACAUUGUGUCUUAAUGGGCAUAUACCGCGAAGGAUACAACUCCAAUAUCUAAAUGUUCUAUCAGUAUUCAUAAGUACCGGAUGCAUUGAAAUAAUGUUGGUAUCGACCCAAUAUCUACUCGCCCAUCCCUCGUCAUUAUCUUCCGAUUGCUAUUAAUGCCUAAUGAAUCCAAAGCAUGUUGAUAACCAACUUUCAAAUCCGCUUUACAAUCCAGGCAGUCGUCCUUGCGGCAAGUCUCAAGGGGCUCGGAGUAAUUUGAAAUCUUUCAGCCGCCUCUCACCAGUUCCAUGUUGGUCAUGUUCUCAGUGUUGUUUCCAGUAAUUACUGCAGGUUAAGUGCACGUCCCGGAGCCCAGCGGAGGCAGCUCUAUCCCUCACCUGGGACAUGACUCAGCAAGGCUCGGGUCAUCCGGCCAUUUCCCUGACCACUGGACCACACCCAGCCUACUCUAAAGCCGCAGGAGCAGCUCUCAUGUUCACUUACAUCAUGUAAUGCAAAGGUAGUUUUAUUUGCCGCCUGAUUGUUUCCUGAAACUCAGCCUCAGACCGGCGUCUGAAUUUUUUUUAACAACGACUGAUACGCAUGUUGUUUUUAACCCAGCCAACUAUUGAUUUCUAUAUACGUACUGGCCAACCUAUUCUUUAUUGUAAAAUUAAGUACUGGGAAGAGGUCGAUUAUAGUUUCACGUUUUGAAUGUUUUGCUUUGACGUAAAAAAAAAUCUCUCUUUCUCUCUCUCUCUCUCUCUCUCUCUCUCUCUCUCUCUCUGUCUGUCUCUCUCUCUCUCUGUCUGUCUGUCUGUCUGUCUGUCUGUCUGUCUCUCUCUCUCUCUCUCUCUCUCUCUCUCUCUCUCUCUCUCUCUCUCUCUCUCAUAUAAAAUCAUGAUCCUGUCGUUAUGUUUAUUUGAAGUUGAAUGGAUGGACUCAGCCCGCCUUUUCUUGCAAAAGAAUCUUCUCACCCGUGUUUUUUUUUUUUUGGUACCUGAGCGUUCAUGUAAACGGUUAUAGAUUGGAAGAUGCCGGCAUACUGGCAUUCCACAUCAUUACUCACACAGACCAGGAGAGACCAUAGGCUGAGCUAUUCAGAGUACCCUCCACCUCACUCAUGCUCUCUCAUACAUACUGAAAGUGUAUACAUACACACACACUCACACGCACGCAGACGUGAUUCAAACACAGGGUUCCUCCAUGGCGAGGCCUUUUUGUUUGCGCCCUUGCUCUUGACCUAUUCUCUUUUGACUUGCCCUAGUAUUUCAUUUCUACUUAUCCUCUCGCCUCUCUUUUCCUUGCUCUGGCUUGCUCUCAUCUCCAGGUUGGAGACAUUGCAACUCAAACUAUGUGUGUGUCUACUGUAUUCAGAAUCAGGGUAAAUAGAAAUGUACACCAAAAUUAUUCAUAUUAUUAAGUAGUUGCCUGACAUUUGUAAAUUAUUCAUACUCUCAAGAAAGAAAAGUAGUCUGUCAUUUGUAAAUUUAACUUGUGUAACAAUAAAACACAAGUAUUGACAUAAAGGGUGAAAAAGGAAAGUUAGAGUGGAGAUAAAAAGUCUACACACCCCAGUUCAAAUGGCAAGUUUUUGUGUCCAAGCUAAAGGUUUCCCACUAUUACUUAACGUAUAUCCUUUAGAACUCAAUUGAGAAAAUCAGAGGGAAAUCCCAUAGAAACAAAGUAAGUGCACACACUCGCUUAUAAAUGGAGAGUGUCUGUUCAGAAUUAAGCAAUCACAUUCACACUCAUUUUAAAUUAGUGUCAGCACACACUUGCCACUAUGUAAAGGUGGCAGUGUACGUAUGUAAAAUUCUCUUUUGGGUGCAAUUGUUAACAGAAAGGGUCAUUUUAAUCAGCUAGGUCCUCGUGACCUUUUUAUUAAUUGUGCUACGAAACAUAAACAAGAGCUUUUGUGUCCGUCAGAUGAGCUACCGCCUCAUAGUAAAAAGGCGAUACUGUUACAUAUCAUCACACAACUUUGCAGA